rnacentral:rRNA from 1 species
UACGUAGGGUGCGAGCGUUGUCCGGAAUUAUUGGGCGUAAAGAGCUUGUAGGCGGUUUGUCGCGUCUGCCGUGAAAGCCCGGGGCUCACCCCCGGAAGUGCAUUGGAAACUGCCAGGCUCGAGUCCCGGAGAGGAGGGUGGAAUUCCUGGUGUAGCGGUGAAAUGCGUAGAUAUCAGGAGGAACACCGGUGGCGAAGGCGGCCCUCUGGACGGUGACUGACGCUGAGACGCGAAAGCGUGGGGAGCAAACAGG